UACGAAGGGGGCUAGCGUUGCUCGGAAUGACUGGGGCGUAAAGGGCGCGUAGGGCGGCGAUCACAAGUCCAGGAUGUGAAAUUCCUGGGCUUAACCUGGGGGCUGCAUUUGAUACGUGGUUGCUUGAGUGGGGAAGAGGGUCGUGGAAUUCCCAGUGUAGAGGUGAAAUUCGUAGAUAUUGGGAAGAACACCGGUGGCGAAGGCGGCGACCUGGUCCUUGACUGACGCUGAGGCGCGAAAGCGUGGGGAGCAAACAGG
rnacentral:rRNA from 1 species